rnacentral:rRNA from 5 species
UUUGACCUCAAAUCAGGUAGGAUUACCCGCUGAACUUAA